rnacentral:rRNA from 1 species
CAAAAACAUCUUUUCUUGUUAGUUUUUGAAGUAUGGCCUGCCCACUGACUUUGGUUGAAGGGCCGCGGUAUUUUGACCGUGCAAAGGUAGCAUAAUCAUUAGUUCUUUAAUUGUGAUCUGGUAUGAAUGGCUUGACGAGACACAAACUGUCUUAGGGGUAUUGGUUUGUUGAAUUUAGUUUUUAAGUUAAAAUUCUUAGAUGUUUUUAUGGGACGAGAAGACCCUAUAGAGUUUUACACUUAUUUUGGUUAUAUUGUUGUUUGUUUUUGUUUUAAUUUGAAUUUAGUGUUUUGUUGGGGUGAUGGGAGGAAUAUUAUUUAACUCCUCUUUGUUUUUAUAUAUUUAUUUAUAUUUAUUUGAUCCAUUUAUUUUGAUUAUAAGAUUAAAUUACCUU